AAGGGAGACCUAAUUCGGGUAGAAGACGAAAAAAUAGUAGUCGAAGCCAAGAAUCAAUCCCAAAAGGUCGGAACGAGGUAUGUGGCUUUCAAACUAGGUUCUGGGUUCACAAAAGACCUGAAUCAGGAACAAGGGCUAUUAGCUCAGGUGGUUAGAGCGCACCCCUGAUAAGGGUGAGGUCCCUGGUUCGAGUCCAGGAUGGCCCACCUGCACAGGUGGCAAAAACAAGAGAAACGAGGAAUCAGCACCUUAUCUUACUUACAUAGUAAGAGAGAAUGCUGGCUCUGAGUAAAGAGUCCAGAGGAACCUUGAAAACUGCAUAGAGCUAGGUGAAAAAGCCAAAAAAGAAGACCGCAA
rnacentral:tRNA from 1 species